UAAUUUACAUAGUUGAGACAGCGACGCAUAUUUUGGUUGUAGGCCAAUAAAUUGCUAGUGUCGCCUUAUUAAAAUAGGUCGAAAAGUAUAUAAUUGGCCCAAACAGUACACUAAGUGUUCAGCCGUGUAUAUAAGCGGGUUAAGAGGUUCUUGCUUGCGCAUCCCAUACAAACAAAAUGCUUAGAUUAAAAUACGAUCCAGUCUUUGGAAGAGCAUAUUCUUACUUAGACGAAUUGCGGUACAAUCCGGAUUUUAUCACCCGGAGGCCGAUCGAGUUUUACUUCAAUUGGCCCUGGAAAUAUCGAUACUGGUUUACUAAUCAGAGAUUCCGCAGGAAUUUGUACAAAGAACUUCGUUUAAGAGAACUGACUUACCUGAUGUAAAUGGUAAACGCGAACUGAGCCUAAAAUUCAGCCAACAUGCUGCUUGUAAAUAAUUUGAUUUUUAUUUUAAUUUUAUAUUGUAUUUUGUAAGCAAUCAAUAGAGGCGCUUUUUCGCAA